CAGCAACACGGCCAAGAUGUUCAGGGCCAUCUUCACCGCGGGAACGUCGGGACGAGCUCUGCGACGUAGGAUCGAACGCGAGGUCUGGUCCAGAGCUUGUCGGCGCGUCGGCUUGAACCCUCUCCGUGUUGCGGCGCGCGGAAGCAGCCGAACACGUCGCAGUGCGGCGGCAGCCAGUGCUUCUCGAACGCCAUGGCGGACACCAGCGAGCCGAUGACGAGCGCGGCGAGGCUUAGCACCAUGCAGGCCAGCCGGUAAGGAAACUGCUGGGCCAGCUCGGGAUCGUGCAGUGGCACGCGUAUCGACGUCGUCGAGCCCAUGGACGGCUCGCCGCACAACCAGCGCGAGUAGGCACCCAGCGCGAACGCUGCGGGAGGCCGUCCCAAACGACCAUUCAUGUCGAAACAUGGCCUCCGAGAUCGGAUGGCGAGCGAGCGCCUCCAGACCUCGGAGCUCCUCUUUUGAAACUUCGAAAUUUCCGCGCUGACUGAGUGGAUGACUGAGUGCGGCCAAUCGGUGAAACGAGCAAAUGAUUGCUGCAACACUUAAACACAAAGGGAACGCUUCUUUGUCGAAUCACUGCUCUCUGUCGCAUUCCUGUCUUCGUGCCACAUAUGACAUCUUGUCUGCACCGCUUUCUACAUACGCUGAUAAAAUUUGGCCUCGCUAACUCGUGGCCCCCGUUCGGAGAAGAUAGUAGUAUUCAAAGAAUAUGUCAGAGAACCACCAACCAGUGCAAAAUUUUAUCUUCGUCCGCUCCGCGUUCCGCAUUCACUGUGCUUCACUAUGUUUAUAUACUAAGAUAGCUAGCUCAGUGAUAAAAAGGUGCCAUUUCGGUGAGUUGUUACACAUGUACGGUGAAAAACAACGCACCUUCAUACGGACGCUGAAAGAAAAGACAUACACCGGCGUUUACCUAGCGAGUGUCAGCCACCUUAUGAUGAUGAUCUUUUGUUGGAAUCACCUAUGUUCAGUCGGCGUCACCCUUGUGUAGAGCGCUGGAACGGCGGCCUCCGGGGCCCUCCUGAGGCAGCCAGCGACGUCUAGCUAGCUGCUGGGCACGUUUUGGCCCAGCAACUGCUGUUAGACGUCAUUGGCUGGCUCCUGAGCGCUCCGGCAGCCGCCGUUCCCCCGCUUAACUGGUCAGCAAUCCAGACAACCAUCAGCUUUAAAUCGCAGCGGUUCUAUACGGGGCUGGCUCGAUGAAUAUACGGGCACUGCAUUACAGUUUGCUGAAUUGUCUCGGGACUUUUGUUGCAGCAGGCAUAUGCUUCGUCCUGUUGCAGAAGUUAGUGUCACACAGCACCACUCACGGCCAUGGCGGCACAUGUGGAACAUGCAGCACAGCUUCUGAGAUUUGCGUGCAAUCUUGGAGGCCAUGCAGGCAGCGUCACAGAGGCUGCAGCCUUAAUAAAGUUUUUUUUUCUAUGGU